GGGAUUAGUGGCGACGGGUGAGUAACACGUGGGCAAUCUGCCCUUCACUCUGGGACAAGCCCUGGAAACGGGGUCUAAUACCGGAUAUGAGCCUGGGAGGCAUCUCCCGGGUUGUAAAGCUCCGGCGGUGAAGGAUGAGCCCGCGGCCUAUCAGCUUGUUGGUGAGGUAAUGGCUCACCAAGGCGACGACGGGUAGCCGGCCUGAGAGGGCGACCGGCCACACUGGGACUGAGACACGGCCCAGACUCCUACGGGAGGCAGCAGUGGGGAAUAUUGCACAAUGGGCGAAAGCCUGAUGCAGCGACGCCGCGUGAGGGAUGACGGCCUUCGGGUUGUAAACCUCUUUCAGCAGGGAAGAAGCGAGAGUGACGGUACCUGCAGAAGAAGCGCCGGCUAACUACGUGCCAGCAGCCGCGGUAAUACGUAGGGCGCAAGCGUUGUCCGGAAUUAUUGGGCGUAAAGAGCUCGUAGGCGGCUUGUCGCGUCGAUUGUGAAAGCCCGGGGCUUAACCCCGGGUCUGCAGUCGAUACGGGCUAGCUAGAGUGUGGUAGGGGAGAUCGGAAUUCCUGGUGUAGCGGUGAAAUGCGCAGAUAUCAGGAGGAACACCGGUGGCGAAGGCGGAUCUCUGGGCCAUUACUGACGCUGAGGAGCGAAAGCGUGGGGAGCGAACAGGAUUAGAUACCCUGGUAGUCCACGCCGUAAACGGUGGGAACUAGGUGUUGGCGACAUUCCACGUCGUCGGUGCCGCAGCUAACGCAUUAAGUUCCCCGCCUGGGGAGUACGGCCGCAAGGCUAAAACUCAAAGGAAUUGACGGGGGGCCCGCACAAGCGGCGGAGCAUGUGGCUUAAUUUCGACGCAACGCGAAGAACCCUUACCAAGGCUUGACAUACACCGGGAAA
rnacentral:rRNA from 1 species